CUCAAAGGAGAAAUUUCUGCUCUAUUGGAAGUGUUUUACAACCCGGAUAGACGCAUCUUCAUGUGACAGGAGAUCGUUUCCGGUCUGAACCGACCACAAGCAGGUGUCGCAUAAACGAGUGGACGGAGCAGGGUUGUUCAGACUUAGUAAACCUGCGUCUUGGAACAGCUGUUCCUGAGGAUGGCUCCACAGGUAAGACCAAAUUGGUAUUUAAAAAUCAGAUAAGUUCAUAUUAAAAAUGCACAAAGACACUCAGCUCAUUCAAUAUUGUAUGUGCAAGCUUUAUGUUCUGGUCUGAAUGUGGCACAGGAGGAAAACUCAGUUUGACUGCUGUAGUGCAUGAUUACUUAAAAACAGUUAGUGCAUUUGAGUUUUUAAACAUUGGUCAAAGCUGAAAAAUCUUUGUGUCUCUGCAGGAUAUUUGGCUUCAACAAAGCUGGACGUGUGGUUAAUGACACUGUAGAAGCUACAUGCUAUGUAAGUCAUAGCAAUCUUCUACAAAUCUGCUAUUAAAUAUUGUAUAUAACAUAGAAUGCCCAAAUUUCAGUCCCUUUCUGCCA